rnacentral:lncRNA from 1 species
CAAACUGCACCAAUUACAAUGGAAGCUACAACUGUUCUUGUCUAAGUGGAUAUCAAGUGACCAAAGCAAACCAAUCCAUAAGUGUUGACAAUCAGUGCACAGGUAAAUGAAAACAUGAAUUAUUUAGGUGCCUAUCUCUAUGAAUUUUCCUUGACCAUUGUUUUCAAUACAACAUUGUUGACCUUAUGGUUUUAGAUGUGAAUGAAUGCCUCGAGACCCCAUCGGUCUGUGGUCCAAACUCAGUCUGCAACAACACCAUUGGAGACUACAACUGUACAUGCUGGAGUGGAUAUAAUGUCACUGAUCCAAGUUUGAAGAGUAGUGCUAACAAUACUUGUACAGAUAUAAACGAAUGUGUUGAGAUAUCAAACGUGUGUGGAUUCAACUCCAACUGCACCAAUUACAAUGGAAGCUACAACUGUUCCUGCCUGAGUGGAUAUCAAGCAAGCUCUGCGAAUCAUCCCAU